rnacentral:rRNA from 1 species
CAGUAGCCGCGUUAAUACGUAGGUGGCAAGCGUUGUCCGGAAUUAUUGGGCGUAAAGGGCUCGCAGGCGGUUUCUUAAGUCUGAUGUGAAAGCCCCCGGCUCAACCGGGGAGGGUCAUUGGAAACUGGGAAACUUGAGUGCAGAAGAGGAGAGUGGAAUCCCACGUGUAGCGGUGAAAUGCGUAGAGAUGUGGAGGAACACCAGUGGCGAAGGCGACUCUCUGGUCUGUAACUGACGCUGAGGAGCGAAAGCGUGGGGAGCGAACAGGAUUAGAUACCCCCGUAGUCCCUGUCUCUUAUAC